AUCCAGGGGGUGACUGGUUUCGACUUCGUACGUGGAGACAGGGGAAGCGAGCCGAGGAAGCCGACGUCGUCUCGAGAAUCGGUCGUCGGAAACUUAUAAGCGCCAACUCUAAGUUUGACGCUGACCAGUACGCUCUCGCCGCCUGAGGCAAGUAGCGUGGUCUGUCGGUCUGGGAGCGCCUCCGUCCCAGCUGCCGGCAUAAGCUAGGAGGCUGGCCAACCGGUCCCGGUCACGGGGACCGCGCGGCGAGAUUAAUCAGUGACUGGGCCCGUCGUCCGAACUUGCUCACGUGAGUCGGAGGGCCGAGUAGGGACAUAGUGAGCUGCGCUCGGAGAAGCCCUGACAAAACAACGAAGGACCCGGGUUCGAUUCCCGGCACCUCCA
rnacentral:tmRNA from 1 species